GCGGGGCCCGAGCACUGAGGGAAGCUGUACCUC
rnacentral:lncRNA from 1 species